UACGAAGGGUGCAAGCGUUACUCGGAAUUAUUGGGCGUAAAGAGCUCGUAGGCGGUUUGUCGCGUCGGAUGUGAAAGCCCGGGGCUUAACCCCGGGUCUGCAUUCGAUACGGGCAGACUAGAGUGUGGUAGGGGAGAUCGGAAUUCCUGGUGUAGCGGUGAAAUGCGCAGAUAUCAGGAGGAACACCGGUGGCGAAGGCGGAUCUCUGGGCCAUUACUGACGCUGAGGAGCGAAAGCGUGGGGAGCGAACAGG
rnacentral:rRNA from 1 species